rfam:Schistosoma mansoni strain Puerto Rico chromosome W, complete genome
AUCCGGCUGACGGGUUCCAAAUAGGACGAAACAUGCGUCCGAGAU